UAAAAAGAAGACUAAAUUUUAUUUAAUUAACACAUUAUUAUAAUUCAUUUAUUGAACAACUAGCUAAUCGGACAGACUUUGUUCUGUCUAAAGUUAAUAGUAAAAAUAUAUAUAUAUGUAUUAUUAUUUUUAUUUUUUUAUUUUUUUAAUAUUUAAACCUUUCGUAGGCCUUAAGAAACAUAUAAAAAAAAAUAGCAGAAUCGGUCGAGCCAUUCUCGAGUUAUGCGCUUAGCAACAUUCAUUUUUAUUUAUAUAGAUUACAAUACAAAUACAAAUACUCUUUAUUGUACACUGUCAGAGAAAAAAAUUACACCAAAAGAAAGAAGAUAUAGACAUGUAAAAAAGGCGGUCUUAUCGCUAAAAGAGCGAUCUCUUUCAGACAAAUUCUAGCAUGAAAAGGAGAUGACAAAAAAAUUUGACGGCAUGGAGGUGUACAUACCUAAUAUAUAUAUAUAUAUAUAUAUAUAUAUAUAUAAUCAUACACGUAAAUAUUACAUAAACAAUAAUACAAAUACAUAUUACAUAGAGAGGAAGGACCGGUUAAAGGCAUUGUCAAUAAUAUACAGCAUUUCACAACCGAACAGCUUGUUCCGAAAAAGAGUUGGUAUAAAAACAAGAAGCAUGAGAAGAAGUUUUAGGAAUAAGAUUACUAUCCGAUCGAAGAGACCGGUCGUAAGAAUUUGAUAGUGACUCAAAGCGCUCUUUUGAAUAACAAGUUAAUACAAUGUUAGUCCAUAAAUUAUUUUUAGGUAAAACAUAAGUUUAUAAUAAAAUUUUACAGUUUUAAUCCUAUCUCCGACAUUGGUUAAAAAUCUAAAACUUUAUUACUAUUUAAGUAUGUGAGUGAUAAGCUUGAAACGUACAAUAAUCCUACACUAAGUAAAAUCGUUUCCACAUCUGUAGGUUUUGAACAGAAUAGAAUUCCAAUUUUAAUAUUGCUACUACAAGGUCACAUGAUUAUUACUAUAUAAUGUGACACUUUAGUAGAUAUUUAAGUACACUAAAAAAACACAUACUUCAUGUACUGCCAGAGCCUGACAGCAGUAAUAUGUAGGUAAAUUAAAGAACUUAUUUCGUUACAAGUUGUUCAGAUAGGUUUUCGGUUAAAAUAUUUUUAAGAAUAUUUACUUUAUCAUUCUCCUUUUCCAAGAAUUUUUGAUAUCAUACUUUUUUUUUUAUUCGAUCCGAGUUGUUGUCCUCUGCUAUUUUAUAUUUAUUUGUGCACGAAACAUUGUAACGCCUGUAGUUUGUUUAUUUCACAAACACACCAUCGAUACAUGUUUGUCUUUACAGGUGUGUACAACAUUUCGAUAGCUCCUAAGUAUACUGAGUCAACUAACAACUUUUGAUAAUUUAAUUUUUUAAGAUAUUAAUAACAUUUACUUUAUUACCUAUCUACCUAUGUAACAAAAAAAAUAAAGUUAUUAAAAGUAGAGUUGACUCAGUAUACUUAGGAGCCAUCGAUUUACUACACAAUAAUUUAUGUCCAAAUAGAGUAAACAACUUACGAAACGAGAUAACGAUACAACAGUAUGAUUAAGUCUUACAACUAAGUGCAAAAUUUCAAAACAACAUAAGCACAAUACAAUCAUAAGUACUAUAAAUAAUAAAUAAACAAGUAUUG
rnacentral:misc_RNA from 1 species